rnacentral:rRNA from 1 species
CAGUCGCCACGGUAACACGUAGGGGGCAAGCGUUAUCCGGAAUUACUGGGUGUAAAGGGAGCGUAGACGGUUAAACAAGUCUGAAGUGAAAUGCCGGGGCUCAACCCCGGAGCUGCUUUGGGAACUGUAGAACUGGAGUGUCGGAGGGGUAAGCGGAAUUCCCAGUGUAGCGGUGAAAUGCGUAGAUAUUGGGAGGAACACCGGCGGCGAAGGCGGCUUACUGGACGACAACUGACGUUGAGGCUCGAAGGCGUGGGUAGCAAACAGGAUUAGAUACCCCAGUAGUCCCUGUCUCUUAUAC